UACGUAGGGGGCAAGCGUUGUCCGGAAUCAUUGGGCGUAAAGAGCGUGUAGGCGGCUCGGUAAGUCCGCUGUAAAAGUCCAGGGCUCAACCCUGGAAAGCCGGUGGAAACUGUCGAGCUAGAGUCCGGAAGAGGCGAGUGGAAUUCCUGGUGUAGCGGUGAAAUGCGCAGAUAUCAGGAGGAACACCAAUGGCGAAGGCAGCUCGCUGGGACGUGACUGACGCUGAGACGCGAAAGCGUGGGGAGCAAACAGG
rnacentral:rRNA from 1 species